GCACCAAUCUUUCCCAUUCCUUACUGUGUAGUGUGGGCCUUGGGGAUACAUGGUGCUUACAGCAAAGCAGAGCAAAUCCAGACAGGUGACUGCCUACACUGAACACCUGUCCCUACAACUCUGCGACAGCC